rnacentral:rRNA from 1 species
CCUACGGGUUGCACCAGUGGGGAAUAUUGCACAAUGGGCGCAAGCCUGAUGCAGCCAUGCCGCGUGUAUGAAGAAGGCCUUCGGGUUGUAAAGUACUUUCAGCGGGGAGGAAGGCGAUAAGGUUAAUAACCUUGUCGAUUGACGUUACCCGCAGAAGAAGCACCGGCUAACUCCGUGCCAGCAGCCGCGGUAAUACGGAGGGUCCAAGCGUUAAUCGGAAUUACUGGGCGUAAAGCGCACGCAGGCGGUCUGUCAAGUCGGAUGUGAAAUCCCCGGGCUCAACCUGGGAACUGCAUUCGAAACUGGCAGGCUGGAGUCUUGUAGAGGGGGGUAGAAUUCCAGGUGUAGCGGUGAAAUGCGUAGAGAUCUGGAGGAAUACCGGUGGCGAAGGCGGCCCCCUGGACAAAGUCUGACGCUCAGGUGUGAAAGCGUGGGGAGCCAACAGGAUUAGAUACCCCCGUAGUC